GGGGAUGAUCGGUUUCGACAUUGCUUGUGAGUCCAUAGGGAAGCGGGCCGAGAAUGCAGAGUCAACUCGUAAAUGUCCUCUGCAAACUAUAGGUGCCAAUACAAAGCGCACCGACUUCGCUCUCGCUGCCUAAGCAGCGGACAAGUCCGUCAGUCUGAAUUAGCCUUCGGUUCAGUUCCUGGCGUCGUUGAGAAGGCUUGCUGAUGAUGCGUGUGUCAGGAAUCAUCGGGACUUUUUACUGAUACUGGGCCUGUCGCGCUAGGUGCUUAUGACAAAGUGCGGGGCCAAGUAGAACGCUUUCAUAAGCUACGCCCGUAGAAGACUGUGGUUCGUAGUAGUGGACCCGGGUUCGAUUCCCGGCAUCUCCACCA
rnacentral:tmRNA from 1 species